GCGUCCAUUGUCUAAUGGAUAGGACAG
rnacentral:tRNA from 12 species